rnacentral:lncRNA from 1 species
UAUAGUAUCUGUCCAGUUGACAUGAUACUCUAUCGAAUCUCCUUGAUGGUUUCUCUACAAUAGAUUUUGGGUUUGACAUCAUCACAUCUAGUUUUGUGGGUUCAUUAGACUGUGUCUAGUCUAUCUAUUGAACUUCAUCAAGUUCAACUUUAGAGGCAUUAAUCUCUUCUCCAAAAAAUUUUUUUUCUAAAAUGACUGUCCUAAGGCUGACAAACACUUUUUGUUCAUCAGUAAGGUAGAAAUAAUACCUCUUAGUUUCUUUGGAAUAUCCUAUAAAAUUAUAUCUAUCAGGUCUGACUCCAAGUUUAUCUGUUUUCAAACAUUUAAUAUAAGCCGGACAUUACCAAAUCUUAAGGUGAGAGAGCCCUAGCUUAUGUCCCGUC